AGGAAGUGUUCUAAUUUCAUUCUUUUACAUGUAGUUGUCCAGUUUUCCCAGCACCACUUAUUGAAGAGGCUGUCUUUUCUCUAUUGUAUAUUCUUGCCUCCUUUAUCAAAGGUAAGGUGGCCAUAUGUGCAUGGGUUUAUAUCUGGCCUUUCUAUCCUGUUCCAUUGAUCUAUAUUUCUGUUUUUUGUGCCAGUACCUUACUGUCUUGAUUACUGUAGCUUUGUAGUAUAGUCUGAAGUCAGGGAGCCUGAUUCCUCCAGCUCCAUUUUUCUUUCUCAAGAUUGCUUUGAGGUCUUUUGUGUUUCCAUACAAAUUGUGAAAUUUUUUGCUCUAGUUCUGUGAAAAAUGCCAUUGGUAGUUUGAUAGGGAUUGCACUGAAUCUGCAGAUUGCUUUGGGUAGUAUAGUCAUUUUCACAAUGUUGAUUCUUCCAGUCCAAGAACAUGGUAUAUUUCUCCAUCUGUUUGUAUCAUCUUUAAUUUCUUUCAUCAGGGUCUUAUAGUUUUCUGCAUACAGGUCUUUUGUCUCUUUAGGUAGGUUUAUUCCUAGGUAUUUUAUUCUUGUUGUUGCAGUGGCAAAUGGGAGUGUUUUCUUAAUUCCUCUUUCAUAUUUUUCGUUAGUGUAUAGGAAUGCAAGAGAUUUCUGUGCAUUAAUUUUGUAUCCUGCUACUUUACCACAUUCAUUGACUAGCUCUAGUCGUUUUCUGGUAGCAUCUUUAGGAUUCUCUAUGUAUAGUAUCAUGUCAUCUGCAAACAGUGACAGCUUUACUUCUUUUCCGAUUUGGAUUCCUUUUAUUUCCUUUUCUUCUCUGAUUGCUGUGGCUAAAACUUCCAAAACUAUGCUGAAUAAGAGUGGUGAGAGGGGCUUCCCUGGUGGCGCAGUGGUUGAGAGUCCACCUGCUGAUGCAGGGGACGCGGGUUCGUGCCCCAGUCUGGGAGGAUCCCACAUGCCGCGGAGAGGCUGGGCCCAUGAGCCAUGGCCGUUGAGCCUGUGCGUCCGGAGCCUGUGCUCUGCAACGGGAGAGCCCGCAACAGUGAGAGGACCGUGUACUGCAAAAAAAAAAAAAAAAAAAGAAAAUAGUGGUGAGAGUGGGCAAGCUUGUCUUGUUCCUGUUCUUAGUGGAAAUGGUUUCGGUUUUUCACAUUGAGAAUGAUGUUGGCUGUGGGUUUGUCAUAUAUGGCCUUUAUUAUGUUGAGGUAAGUUCCCUCUAUGCCUACUUUCUGGAGAGUUUUUAAGUAUAAAUGGGUGUAGAAUUUUGUCAAAAGCUUUUUCUGCAUUUAUUGAGAUGAUCAUAUGGUUUUUCUCUUUCAAUUUGUUAAUAUGGUGUAUCACAUUGAUUGAUUUGCAUAUAUUGAAGAAUCCUUGCAUUCCUGGGAUAAACCCCACUUGAUUAUGGUGUAUGAUCCUUUUAAUGUACUGUUGGAUUCUGUUUGCUAGUAUUUUGUUGAGGAUUUUUGCAUCUGUGUUCAUCAGUGAUUUUGGCCUGUAGUUUUCUUUCUUUGUGACAUGUUUGUCUGGUUUUGGUAUCAGGGUGAUGGUGGCCUUGUAGAAUGAGUUUGGGAGUGUUCCUCCCUCUGCUAUAUUUUGGAAGAGUUUGAGAAGGAUAGGUGUUAGCUCUUCUCUAAAUGUUUGAUAGAAUUUGCCUGUGAACCCAUCUGAUCCUGGGCUUUUGUUUGUUGGAAGAUUUUUAAUCACAGUUUCGAUUUCAGUGGUUGUGAUUGGUCUGUGUAUAUUUUCUGUUUGUUCCUGGUUCAGUCUCGGAAGGUUGUGCUUUUCUUCGAAUGUGUCCAUUUCUUCCAGGUUGUCCAUUUUAUUGGCAUAGGGUUGCUUGUAGUAAUCUUUCAUGAUCCUUUGUAUUUCUGUGGUGUCAGUUGUUACUUCUCCUUUUUCAUUUCUAAUUCUGUUGAUUUGAGUCUCCUCCCUUUUUUUGUUGAUGAGUCUGGCUAAUGGUUUAUCAAUUUUGUUUAUCUUCUGAAAUAACCAGCUUUUAGUUUUAUUGAUCUUUGCUGUCGUUUCCUUCAUUUCUUUUUCAUUUAUUUCUGAUCUGAUCUUUAUGACUUCUUUCCUUCUGUUAACUUUGGGAACCCCUCCAUCUUACCCCUCCAUGAGCAAAUUGAGACCCCAGGAGAAUAUAGCGACUUGCUCAAGGAAAUGCAGCUAUGCUCUUUUCUCAUCAGUAUCAUCUUUGUAGCAUUUUCCUCCCAAAAGCAAACUCAAAUUCUCUAAGAUUCAUCCCACUUAAAUGGUAAAAUUCUUUUAUCCGUAUUAAAACUCUUACAAUUUUUAUAGACUAAUUUUUCUGAGAAGUCAGGACACCUUAUAGUCCUUUUCUCUCAUUUCACAACAUAUUAAGUCAGGGACAUAGGCUCCUGGGGACAGUUAAUACUCAGAAGGUGUGGUAUGACUUGUUCAAGAUAAAAAGGAAUUGAGAACAUGAGCUGGAAGUGACUUAGAAACCAAAUCUAUAUUUAAUAGAAGUGACUUUUCGGAGGACACCCAGCAAAGAAAAGGCUUUAGAUGUGCGAAAUCACUAUUAAAAUCACACUAUAUGUAGGUUAUCAGGGAGGAGGGCCUAUUUGACUCUGUGAAACUUAGACCCAGUUUAUUUUCUUACCCUAAUCCUUCUGCUUCCACGUCUAAUCAAGGCUAAACCAUGCCACAUAUAUCUUUGCUUUUAAAUGAUUUCCUCACUGUUUGUACUUAAUACUUCUAUUUUCUAUCUUGUGUUACAUAAACCAACCAAACCAACAAACAAAUCGAUAAAUGAAAGGCCAAUAUCUAAUUCUCAUCUGUUUUGCUAUGAUGUAUGUACUUUCUUCUGUCUUCAGUUGAAUAGGAAACAGGGUCUCCAUAAACCAUCUGGUCUUUCGCUGGACUUGGCCAGGCAGACAGAAUGCAGGGUCACUUCUCAGAGACAGAGCAUUUGUUCUUUCGUACUUUCUUGACUGUUCCUUGAUGAACUAUGUUUGUUAAAUCUUUCUGUUUUAUUCCAUAUCUUUGUAUUUGACCCUAAAAGCCAGUAUUCUGCUUUGUUUUAUGUUUCCUGUUAACAAUUUCCCCUUGGUCUGAAUGGAGAGUGCCACAGAAUUAAAAACAAUAUGGGGAUUGGGACAAAACAUCAGUUGUAGGAACUGGAAGAUUUAUAAUCUUAGGUAGAAAGUAAUAGGAAAACCUUGCUGCAGAAAAAACAAACAAACAAACCCCAAAAUAAUCCCAGAAAAGUCAUACAGUGAUUUGAGAUUUGUGAAACUGUAGCAAUGUGAGUGGACAUUACACUUGAAGAGAAGGUUACUGACCAGAGGAUAUGAGUGAUGGAUAACCUUCAUUUUUAACUUCAGUUCUAGUUUCCUCUGGCAUACAUGUCAGAGUAGUAAUACGCUCGUGGUGGUUUGUGUUGAGGGAGCAGUUUUGGCUUCUCUCUACUUUAUUCUUAUAUGAAAAGGUCAUUUCCUACCACUAGAGAUGAGAAUAUGUCGAUGGUGUUCUCUCUUUUAUUUUCAGCAGUGUAUCUAUGAUCUUUCCAAAUGAUUCAUGUAGAUAAAACAUUAACAUUAUGGGGCGGGGGAAUGUUCUUUCUUUCCUUUUUUUAAAGAGUUUUAAGUAGCAGUGGCUCCCAAUUCUAUAGUGUGACUUUGGGUGGAUAAUUGCUAUAGACUACUGUAGACCUUUGUUUUCUUCCCCCUGUAGGGGAUUGACUUUAACCGUUCUCCUCUGCCAAACCUUUGAUCCGUGCAUGACAUUUCAACCCCACCACUUCCUGUGUUCUAUUCUGCCAAAGAAAAUUGCAUUUUCUAUUUCUGGAUAAAGCAUGGUUGUUUGUGUCAGUCAAUUUAACACAAUACAACAGUUCUUAUCUGUGCAGAGGAAGCACUAAUAAGAUUCCAGCAGGAGAUGUGUCCUGAGCCCAUGACCAAGCCUCCCAUUGGGCCCGGAAGACGGAAGCCACAGUAAUCCAUUACCGACAAGGCUACUUAGUGGUGAUGUAGCACCUUUUUGUCUUGGAGACCUCCAGGUAGUAAGAAGUCCCAUUUCCUGCCCUAUACACUCAUCCCACAAAUGAUACAUGGGUGUGAAAGAAAUCGGUUGUGUGGCAGAGUGGAAAGGGCAGGUAUUUUGGAGAGUCUCACCUUGCUUUUUUGAUCCCUGCUCUGCCAUUUACCAGCUCUGAACCCUUAGUCAUGUUACAUACCUUUUCUGAGCCUCUGGUUCCUCAUGGAAAAUGAGGAUAAAGAUACAGUUUCUCACUUGCAGAGUUAGUAGGAAAAUGAAAUGAGGUAAUGAACACAAGACUCUUAGCACAGGGCACACUCCACUGCAGGUGCUCUAGAAGUAGCUAUUGUCAUGAAAGUGCUCCUAUUGGUAAGAAUAUAUUGCAUUUUGAUGAAGUAAGCAGUUCUUACUGUGAGAUGUCUUUUGGUUAAAAUGGAGGUAUGGACCUCCCACCUUUUUGUUCCAUUGAGUAGAUCAGCUGUGGGAAAAGUUUGAUUUUUCAAAGAAAUCAAAGAAAUAUUUGAUUUCCCUGCUACUUAUACCUUAAUUCAUUAAAUCGUUUAAUGAAGGCCUACUGGAUGCUGUGCACUGUUCUGGAUGCCUGAAUCUAGAAGAAACAACAAAAAAGCAAAGAGGCGAUGUGAUGGAGAGGAAAGAACAUGGGUUCCGGCAUGGGCGAAUGUAGCGUCCCAUUCUGGCUCUGCUAUUUACUAGUAUUCUGUGAUUUGGGCAUGUUAUUUAACAUCUCUGAGACUAGUUUGUGGAUUUCUAAAAUGUGGACAAUAGUACAUGCCUCACAAGGCUGUGAUAACAGAUAAAAGGCAGUUGUAAUCUGGGAUGAUAUUCAAAAUAUUUACUAACCAGUAUGGGAAGGGCAUUGACUAAUCAGAAAGAACCAGCUUGGGGCUUCCCUGGUGGCGCAGUGGUUGAGACUCCGCCUGCUGAUGCAGGGGACACGGGUUUGUGCCCUCGUCCGGGAAGAUCCCACAUGCCGCGGAGCGGCUGGGCCCGUGAGCCAUGGCCGCUGAGCCUGUGCAUCCGGAGCCUGUGCUCCGCAAUGGGAGAGGCCACAAUGGUGAGAGGCCCGUGUACCGCAAAAGAGAAAAAAAAAAAGAAAGAAAGAACCAGCUGUAGAAAACCAGUAAACUAGUAGGUAUCAGUGUAUCAGUAGAAUACAAGCCCUUCUAGACACCCUGCUAGAAGCCCAGUGCCUAGCAUUUAGUAGGGAAGAGCCCAGGUUUUAGUUUGGGGGUUGUACUGUUUAUAUUUUUAAUUUUCUAUAUAUUAUGAUAUUUUGACAUCUUAAAAACCCUUCUGGCUGGAGAGAGACUGGCCCUUCAGGGACUAGCCAAUUCUUAGAGAUAGCAAAGGGCUCAGCCGGGAACAUGCCUUUGAUAAAGCAGGCUAACCAGUCCAGAGCCAUACCUCCUCCAUCUGACCUGGACACCCAGGAUGCAAUAUUCUCCUACCCUAAUCAUCCCAGAGCUCCCUACCAGACAGCUAGGGACUGCCGUAUAGCUUAAAGCCUGAAGAUACUGUUCAAAGUAGCCAAUCCUAAAAUGUUUUCCCUGCCUUGCCUUUCUUGAGGAAACCCCCAGUUAAGACUCUGUUCUAGACUUUUCCUUCCUCCUGUCUUCUGCCUCCUGACUGACACCCAGUGCUCCCGCCUGAGACCCUGUGCAGCACAUGGUGCCUCCUGUUUCUGGGUCUUGUAAGUAUAAUCACCUUAGUUUUCCUGAGCCUCUCCUGACUGACCAUCACAUAAAGAACAAAGAACAGGAGUGGAUGUAUAAACGAUUGCCACACAGUCUGAAACGUGCUAUAAUGAAAGUGCAUAAACGGGCAAAGUGAGCGCAGUGUAGGGAGCCACUAACCUAACUGGGGGAGUCCAGAAAUGAUAAAGAAAAGAAAAGCUGAGCAUUGAAGGAUGAGGAGGAGGGUGUGUCAGGACUGAGAUAACCGUGCAGAGAGAAAAGCGUGCCCCACAGCAUGAAAGUACACACACAUACGACAUGUUUCAGGAGGAAUAGGGCAUGGUGGGCUGGGAGGGGGUUCGAGGCUGGGCAAAGGAUAAAACUGGAGAUGUAGGUAGGGGCUUGAUCUUGAAGGACCUUUGAAGCGACUUUGUUGCAGCGUGAGAAGCCAUUGCAGAGAGGGAGAUGGAGGAGGGAGGAAGACCAGUGAGGGAGGUGGCUGUGUCAGUCGGCGGUGAGACACGAGGCACUGAACUGUGGAGGGCAUCCCAUAGGCAAGCAGGGCACAGACACCUGAGAUGGAGUCUAGUCAUGGACUAGAUGGAACCAAGUCAGUGAUUGGAUAUAGUGGGGAGGGAAGGAAGCAGCUGAAGACAACUCCUGGGUCUAGCUAACGUGACAGCUGCACGUUGGCAUUCCAGAAGAGAGAACAGUGUUGGGGUAAAUCGCUUCUCUCCUGUUUGUGUAACUGCAUCAUUCCCCUGCCUACCAGGUCAAGGGACGCUUUUUUUUUUUUUUUUCAUCUCACAGCUGUAAAUAUUUCAUGCCAGUGGCCAUGUUUCUGUUUUAUUUUGGGAAUAGCACUUCAACUGGUUUCUCAGUUUAAAUGACUCAGGGACUGAAGGGCCAUUUUUGUCUUCGGGGGUAUGUUUGGUGGCGAAGAUGGUAGACAGUUGGGUGUGGGUGAGGACAGGUAGCGCCUGAGGUCUUGCAGCUUAGAAGUAACAUCUAGUCAUUUGAGGAUUACACUGCCAAAGGUGUGUGGGUGUAUCUUUGAAGAAACAAAACAAAACAAAAAGCAUGACCAGCAAUCUGAUCUAUGCUAGGUGUCUAUGAAAAUCAUUCUUUUAUUUAUUGCCUUACCUCUUGGAACUGCCUUACUGGCCUCAGAAAUGACCCCUUUGUUAAAGUAAACUUCCCCAUUGCUCUCAGGGGGUGGUUGGUCAACUUGUCAGUUGAUGGGGUUUGAGGGGAGGAGUUUGGGGUCACUGUUCUGUUACACCGAUUCAUUUAAAAAUUGGCCUUUUGAAAAAAAAAAAAAAAAAAAUUGGCCUUUUGUUUCCUCUCUUCCCCAUCCUUGGUGGCAGCCAGUAAUCGUGCCUUCCCAGGGCUGAGGAGUGUGCAGAAAGCCCCUGGUUUGUGUGAUCCGACAGGAUCAUUUCUGAACAGAGAGGCUGCACACAGCCCAGGCCCUGCUCUCCCCUUCCUGCUCUGAAUGCUGAAACAAUUUCAAUGAGAAGAUGGAUUUAUAAGAGGGUUCCUUUCUUAUCAUAAUGGGAGCCUAUCCAACUUUUUGAUUCUAAAGAGGUUUGCAGUGGUAUCUGGGGAAUGUUCUUGAUGGCACAAUUUUCAGUUGUUUGAAGUUUCCAUUUUUUAAAAAGCCUACUAAGAGCCAGGCUUCUUAUGGCUGUAUGUCAUUCACUCCUCCUGCGGUGACUCCUGUGAGCUACAUUUAUUGAACUCUCCUGUGCGUCAGGCCUGCGCUAAGCACUUCACGUAGGUCGUCGGAAUUCACCUUCACAGUAGCUCUGUGAGGUAGGACUGGGAUCACCUCCAAUCCUCCGACGAGGAGCCUGGAGUGUAGAGAGGUAAAGACACUUUGUUCAGGGUCACUUGGCUCUCAGAGGUCAGCUCAGGAGUCCAACCCAGAUACUCUUAACUGCAGAGUUUGCACCCUUAGCCUUGCCGGGUAGAUAAUACACAUGUUAUCAGUUCUAAAAAAGAUGAACCUGAGACUUAGAAAGGCUUAGAAUCCAGAACCCAGGUCUCUCUGACUUUAUAUUGUUGUCCCAGGAUACCAGUUGUCUCUGCUUAUACCCUGUGAACAAAGCAAAGCUUUAUAUGAACUGUUUUAUCACAAACUGGCCCUGAAUCCUGGGAUCUUCAGAGGGAGCUGAUGAAAGUGGUAUUGGUUUAUGAUGUGGUGAUGCUUCUGGUCUUACAUCUGAUUGCACCAUUCUUUCUCAUCCUUGCUGAUAGAAAGGACAUAAAGUGAGAAUAUUCGCAUCACAAAUUAUUAAGUAUUAAAUCUCAAAGUCAGUUUGGGCCACAUUACUGAUCGCUGCAUAUCAAGGGCUGUGUCAUUAAGGCCAAUAUAUGGGAAGAUUGCUACCUCUUUCUUUGGAGUUUACAACCUUCAGAGAAACACCGGACAGCUAUUUAUUUUUGUAUUUAUGCAAAUUACAUAUACAUACAGAGUGUUAAAACAUAAAAACAACAUAUGGGUUAAAAGAAUUUCUGUAAGUGCUCCAGGCACCUCCAGAUACAGAAAUAGCAUGGCUGCUAAUAACAUGGGCUCCUCAGCAAACAGAGAUCGCAGCCUCAGCCACUCUCACAAUCUGUGAGAUGAGGGGCUCUUUUAGGGAAGGGUACCGUUCUAUAUUUACACGCUAGCUUUCCAGCUUCAUUCAUGCUGACAGAUUGCCAUUUUUAAAGCAGGUUGAUCUGGUGGAUGAGGGGAGACACUGGAGGUGACAGAAUAGGACAGAGCAAACCUCGCUUGGAGGAACCAGCCUGUCCUUUGGAGGUGGAACUAGCCUAAAAUACUGAUCUAUAUCGUAAAGAAAAUUUGACACACUUAGCGGAACUAGAGGCUCAAGCUUUCAAAUCAGAAAUGUUUAGAGGACUGCGUACAACCAGCUCCUAAUGAGCCUAAUCAUCUCUCUUGCUCAUCAGGCAGAACAGAUUAAAAAAAAUUAAAGAAAACCAAAGAGGGAAGAUAAGAAGGAAGAAUGAACUGAGGGCUAUGAGAGUCCAUCUGGUGCCAGCGUUGUGGUUUCAUACCAUAUUGGUAACAGCCAGGGUACGCAGGCCUCUCACUGUUGUGGCCUCUCCCGUUGCGGAGCACAGGCUCCGGACGCGCAGGCUCAGCGGCCAUGGCUCACGGGUCCAGCCGCUCCGCGGCAUGUGGGAUCCUCCCGGACCGGGGUACGAACCCGUGUCCUCUGCAUCGGCAGGCGGACUCUCAACCACUGCGCCACCAGGGAAGCCCGAGAGACUAUUCUUAAUUUCUUGUCAUAGAUGAGGAAACUGAGGUUUUAGGGUUUAAGGGAUUUGCCCAGGAUCAUGCAGCUAGGAAGUGGUACUUAGAAUCUGUAUACAGCUCUUUAUGACACAAGGAGAAGCCAGUUCUUUUCCUACCGUAAGUGGAAAGCUUUCCUGAGAGGCCACAGCACUGCCAAAUGGCCUUUGCAGUCUCUGGGUACAUCUUGCAUUGAUACUUGGCAGAAACCGUGGAAACCAAAGGUGAGCAGUGUGGCCAGAGCCCGGCUGGGGACUCUAGUUCUCCCUCCUUGUGGGCUGCUGGGCAAGAAGGACACACAUCAGGCUUCAUUUGUUCUUUGCACCACAAUGCAGCCCCAGUGCCUAUAGUGCAGAAGGCAGUUAAUUUUCCCAAUAUUCUCUAAUUUUUGGCAUGGACUGAAUGCAGCCAGAGAGACUAAGCCAGGAUUGUAUCAAGGACUUCUGCCUGUGUCUGUGCGGAGGGAUGUGCAGUUGCCAUAGCAGCAAUCAAUCUGCUAAAUAACUGGUAGCAUAAACUGAUUCAAAGGCAAAAAGACUGAUUUGGGUCAGGGAAUCACACUCUAUAAAAAACAGCGUCUCUGUGACUUCUGAGGGUAUUUUAGCCUUUAUGGUUGGCCCUGGAAAUGCACACUGAGUGAAUGCUCAGAGGCAACAGGGGUGUGUGUGCCUCAAGAGAUGAGCACUAUGCUGCUUCUGGGUAGUUAGAAUAGGGAAUUCCGUGGAACGUGCUGUAAAAUUGCUCUUCUGCUGCAUAGCAAUUCCCAGAGGCUUAGGACCAGUAACUAGCAAAAAGAUCAUGGUAUCCAGUUACUGAGUUCUCCCCAUGUCCUGGGAUGCUUCUCAGUGCGUUACAGGCAUUUGGUCAACAAUCUUGCAAAGUGGGCUUUAUCACCACCCAUCCACACUUGUGGACACCGUUGUUAAUAUGCCCAGACUUGGGGAACCAGCCAGGGGCGGUGGAUUCAGGAUUCAAUCUGAGAUGUGCUUGAUGCAGCUGCUAGGCCCUCUCCACCCUGCCACACAGCUUCUCUUCCUUGGACUUUUCUCAAAAGGAAAGGACAUUUCUUCUUGGCCACUCACAUAGCAAGAUUGCAGUGUUCUGAUUAUGCUUUGUAUAUUGUGAAAUGUUUGCUAAUUAUUUUUUUUCUUUUUUUUUGGUGAUACGUGGGCCUCUCACCACUGUGGCCUCUUCUGUUGCGGAGCACAGGCUCCGGACGCGCAGGCUCAGUGGCCAUGGCUCACGGGCCCAGCCGCCCCACGGCAUGUGGGAUCUUCCCGGACCGGGGCACGAACCCGUGUCCCCUGCAUCGGCAGGCGGACUCUCAACCACUGUGCCACCAGGGAAGCCCUACUAAUUAUUUUUAAUCCCACAUGAAAACUAAGUCUUAGGGCAAUAGGACUUGGUAUUCCCAGAGCUAGCGCUGCCCAGUUUGGGUGAUUCAGGUUGUCAUACUGAAGGGAAAAAAAGAGGCUAUUUUUUCUUUUACUCUGGUUUUUAGAACAGUACCAGGUAUCCUCCUAUCUCCAUUUUGGUGUAGCCUAGCUCCUGGGUAAACCUGGGCUAGGAGAAAGCAUUUCUGAACCAUAGUAAGAGGUGGCAUGUUAUAAAGCAGAAAGCAGUGGCUUGAUGUCUGUGUUGAGUUACGGGCUCUUCCACUUUCUAGCUGUGUGAUCUUGGGCAUUGUACUUCUAUUCUUUCAGCCUAGUCUCCACUCUGUAAAAAGGGGAUGAUAGUGAUGGUGAUACCACCUAACUCUCAGUUUCCUAGAAUGCUCUUUGGAGUGAGACAGAGGUAAAAAUUGCCACACAACCUUUAGGAGUAAAGAUGCCUGCGGAUUCCUUUGCAUCAAGGAGUCUAUUCCCUCAUCCAUGAAUCCCAAUUUUUAAUUUUUGUUCUUUUGCUUAGUGGCUCUGAAUUAAAUGUUUGUAGAAUGAAUAAAGUCUAGGAAAGCACUUCAGAGAGUGCCUGUCACAUGGUUAUGGUUUAAUAAAUAUUAGUUUCUUAUUUAAACAAAGCUUAAAAAUUAUUCGAUCAUCCUUCACCUUUAGAUCUAGUUUGUAGGUGCUAGUUAGACUUGGUACUCCAGAGGAAUUUGAGCCCUGGGAGCCCAGAGGAAGGAGAUUAAGCCUUGCCUUUGUGUUUUCUGUUCCCUAUUUCUGACUCCGUGACUGAAAGUCCAGAGGUGAGCCGAGCACUGUGAACUGAAUUCCCGUCUGGAAGUCUCACCUUUCCAGGGUCCGCUGCCACAGAGCUGGCUCAGGAAACUCUGGAAAUGAACUUCAUGCAGUGUGCAAUUUGACUCUGCCGUGCCAGCUGGAAUACACCUUUAGGAGCUGAGUAGCACUGUGCUAGGUACUGAAGACACGGUGGUGGACAAGACAGAGCUCCUGCCCGCGUGAAGCUUACAUCCUAGUGCUGGAAGGCAAUGAAAAGGUUUAAAGUGGCGGAUCCUGUCUUAAGACUAGUGACCCCAAGAUAAAAAUUCAGGAGAAAGAAUGGAGAUGACAGGUGGAAAUGGAAGGGGUGUGGGAUGAGACCUGACAUGCCACUACUUGUAGAGUUCUGUUUAAUAACCAAAGAGGGCGCCAAACAUGUAUUGCACCGAGUGACCUGCAGUGCCAGGAUCUCCUGUAGACCUUGGGAUGGUCUUCACCUUGCAGACAGCAGAACCUGGGACUUCUUGGCCUCCAUAAUCACGCAGUGAGAAGAGAAGCCUGAGAAGAUGCUCCUGGCCUGAGGCAUUCUUUGUGUUGUGAUAUUUUCCUGUUUCUGUGAUGGCCUCAGUAUAUGAGCAUAUUGACUGAGGGCCUUCAUAUAUUGAAAAGGUCAUGUCCCAGGAGAAAGGCAACGAGCCCCAAUGCUCUGCCUUAUCACUUCGAGGAAGAGAUGGCCAAAGAGAAUGAACCUCCUAUUCCUAUCCUGGGGCCUGCUAACCCUGAGAAACCACCUCCUUGGAAAGUGUUCUGGAUUUCCUUAGUUUCUCCAAUGCAAACGAAUACUCACCAGUGCCACAGAGACAUAUACUAAGGCAAGUGCAAGUUUACCAAGUUGCUACCUGAGUAAGCUCUUCCU